AAACAAAAUACAUUAUUAAUUUCCAAAAAAGUAACCAAUUAAAAUCAACAAAUUAUAUUUGAUAUCUAAAUUAUCAUAUUAAUUUUUUAUUAAUUAUUAUAGUUCACUUUCCAUCUUUAUAUGAUUUUAUUUUUGCGGAAAAAUAAUAUCAUCAUUAUAAAAAAAGAAUUAUAGUUAUUUUGCAUAUGCCACAAUUUGAAUUUUUAAAAACGAAUAUAAACUGUUCAAUACAUGAAAAAAUAUUAUAACGGGUGAAAAAUAGAUUUAAGAAAACUUUCUACUGAGUAACGGGUCAUAAUUUGAAAUAUUUAUAUUCAAUUUCAUACAUAUUAUAUUAAAAAUUUAUAAUCUUAUAUAUUACAAUAAUUAAUAACAUAUUAGAUGUGAUUCAAUUUUUAAUAAAAGCUGGAAAGUCCUAGAAUCGACGGUUUAGAUCGAUAUUAAUACAAGAUGGAAUACUACAAGUGAAACUCUUAAAUUAACUAUCAAACUACAAGUGUAUAAUCUUAAACACUAAACAAUAUAGAUAAUAUCAACAAAACAUAUACAUGAAAUCAAUUAAAUCUUAAUCACAUAAAAAUUAGCACAAAAAAAGUAUUCAACAAUUAAAUUUUUAUCAAAUCUCUGUGUUAUAUAAGUUUUGAUACUAUAUUCGAAUAAUGUAAUAUACCUUUUCAAUUUGUAUUCUUUAACUAAUUUAAGCUAACUAAUAUAUUUGCUAAUCUUAUACCUAUCAAAACCGACUAUCGUUUCUUAUCUCUAUAGUAUUUUUGCAAGACUUUUUUGGUGGAUUUGGAUAAAAGUGUAUUCGGGUCAUAUGGUACAUUCUCCUAUUAAAUAAAUAUGGUGCACUCCGAUGUUAUUAGCUAAAAUGUUUAGAAUAUAAUUCAGAGUCAUAUCAUUAAUAAAAUUAAUAUUAAUAAAAUAAAUGACUUUUUGGCAAGACGAAUUUGGAGGGACGGGUUUUUGAAUCAACAUUAAUAAAAAAGUAAAAUAUAAUUAAUCCACCGUUUUAAUACGGGUUAAAUCUUUAAUUAAUUAUUUUUUAAGACCACUAAUAUUAAACAUAUCAAAUCAUCCUAAUUUAGAAAAGAUUAUAUAAAACCAAAAAUGUUAUGUGGUAUGUAUAAUGUUACUAUAUAUAAAAUUAAACAAUAAAAUAUAAAUGUAUUAGAGAAUGAUACAAUGUGCAAAACUUUUAUAUAUAAAAAAUAAUUCUUAAAAUUUAAAAAUUACUACUUUAAAAAAAAAAUCACGGGACGGGUAAAAAAUUUACAGAACGGGUUUUAUUUUGGAAUUGGGUUAUAUGGUGGAUGUAUUUGAAUCAAUAUUUAUAAAAUUUUAAAAUAUU
rnacentral:sRNA from 1 species